GCAGUGGAAGACGGUUGGCGACCCGGAUGGCUUUUGUUACCAGGGCCAGCCCAAUCCGCCCGAUUCUCGGUCCCUAUACUGCCUCCUUUUCCCAUGCGCAUCGCAAGGGAUCGGUUGAUGGGGCCCUCAGUAUGACUUCGCUAGGAAAAAUAAAGGUCUUCUUAGGCGGGAGGGGACUGAUUUGAGGACGGAGGGUGGGAGUAGUGCCAGCAGCACUUUGUCGUAGUGGCACUGGGUGGGCAGUUAUCAGUUGCAGUCCGCUCGUUUCUCAGUGCCCACGGUUUCUCACUGACAGUGCAGCUCGUUUCUCAGAGCCGGCGGAUGUUCAUGGGCAGCACCAUCGAGCCAGAAGCAGUAUUUGUCCUGGAGGAAAUCAGUGGUGCUUCAGGAUAUUGUGAAUUUGGUCUUCUGAAAGCAGAAUUCUGAUUUAACAGUAUAAUGGAAUUCGUGAACGUCAUGAUGCUAAUUUGAACCAACAAGCACCCUUGUGAGAGGAAUCUGCUUUUCCUCAAGUCUGAAGAACACCAGGAGAAUCUUUCUGUAUGGAGUUACCAGGAAUCCUCUGCUAAGGAAAGUGAAAGGGAAGAUGCAAUUUCUCCUGGGAAGGGGGGAUGCUGAUGUAGAGGGUGACAAGUAAUAUGCCAUGAAGGAUUCAGUCACCUGGUUAGAUUUAGAGUUAGAGUUAUGGUUAAGGAAGAAGGAAGGAAAAAAGGCAGAAGAGGAAGAAAGGAAGCAAGAAAAGAUAAAAUUUAUUCUAAGAUAAAAUUUGUGAAUUUUGCUAAACUAUAUAUAUUUAUUUAUUUAUUUAUUUUAUUUAUUUAUUUAUUUUUGCUGUCAUUAGCCAAGAUAAGGAAUCUUCAAGUUGAGUAAGACUGGAUUUAGAAUUGUCUGGGGGCUUUCAAAAGAGCCAUUCAGUAAAUAAGAAAGAAUACAGGCCUGCAGCACCAGAGUCUGAGCUGGGGGCAUAGGUUUGUGUGAAUUUGGGCAUGGUGGCUCAGGUCUGUAAUCCCAGCACUUUGGGAGGCUGAAGUUGAGGACUGCUUGAGCUCAGGAGUCUGAGACCACCCUGGGCAACAUGGGGAGACCCCAUCUCUACAAAAAAAUAAAAAAUAUUAACCCAAGGUGGUGGCAUGCACCUUGCUGCCAGCUACUGUGGAGGCUGAGGUGAGAGGAUUGUUUAAGUCCAGGAUGUUGAGACUGCAGUGAGCCCUGUUUGUGGCACUGCACUCCUGCCUGGUCCACAGAGGGAGACUCUGUCUGAAGGUGGGGAAAGAAAAGAUUUGUAUGAAUUUGGUGCUGCUUUGUAUUUCAAAAUAGGAAAGUGGAUAUACGAAUAUAUGGCAUAAAAGGUCCAGAUACUGGACCCCAGUGAACUCAAUUGUUUUCAAGGUCUGACUUUAACCUUGCUAGGCUGAAGAAUCUGGAAUGGCUCAGAUGUUUCUAGUUCAGCUGUAACUUUUGCCUCCUUUAGAGUAAAGCUGUGGGGGACUUGAGUAUACUCAGAGUGGAUCUGAGAGGUAUCUGCUUCCAGAAUGAAUUAGAAUUCCUGGAUUUGAAUCAUAAUCAGAUGGCUGUUAAGGGGUUAUUGAAGACAUAUGGCUCUUAAGUUCACAAUAUUGAAUUCAGGUGAAUAUUAUAAAUAUUUGUAAGUUGGAUUAUAUUAUUGAAGCACUUGGUAAAAAUUGCCAUGCAGGGAUAAAUGUAGGAAGGGGAUUGCAGAGUCUGAUAUCUAAAAAAUAAGUGGAGCAGCAUUUGGAAACCCCGUUCACAUUUUCAAUCUCUUUUCUCUCAUUAGAACCUAACUGCUAUCCUCUAAUCCCUACUUUUGAAAAAAUGUAUUUAAGGCUGGGCGUGGUGGCUCACGCCUGUAAUCCCAGCACUUUGGAAGGCCGAAGUGGGUGGAUCACGAGGUCAGGAGAUCGAGACCAUCCUGGCUAACAUGGUGAAACCCCAUCUCUACUAAAAAUACAAAAAAUUAGCCGGGCGUUGUGGUGGGCACCUGUAGUCCUAGCUACUCGGGAGGCUGAGGCAGGAGAAUGGCGUGAACCCAGGAGGCAGAGCUUGUAGUGAGCUGAGAUCGCGCCACUGCACUCCAGCCUGGGCGACAGAGCGAGACUCCGUCUCAGAAAAAAAAAAAAAGAAAAAAUGUAUUUAAAAACUCAGCAAACAUUAAUGGAGAUAUUCCAAGAGCCAGGCUCCUGGUUCCAAGACCCCACUCAGAGGACUAAGCUCAAAUCUAAUAAGAUGUGUAGGCUUGGGGCCAGUGGGGCGAGGGGAUAUCCACAGGAGGGCCAAUCGAACAAGGCCUCAGACUCAUGAGCCUCAAAUGUAGAUGUUAGAUUUUUCCUCCAAUUGAGAUUAUACAUACAGCCACAGAGCUUCAUGGAUGCAAAUGAAAAUGGUCAUGUCUCAACUUUUAAACUGUGCUCAAUUAGAGGAACUCAUUGCCUAUGGCAUAGUGUCAUGUAAUAAAAUGGUUUUUUUGUUGUCUAAUCUUGUAGUUAGUACAGUGAUAGUACAUUGGGUUUUUGUGUUAAAAGAAGUCAUUUGUUAUCCCAGCACUUUGGGAGGCCGAGGCAGGCAGAUCACCUGAGGUCAGGAGUUCAAGACCAGCCUGACCAACAUGAUGAGACCCCAUCUCUACUGAAUUAGCCAGGCAUGGUGGCGCAUGCCUGUAAUCCCAGUUACUCGGGAGGCUCAGGCAGGAGAAUCGCUUGAAUCGGGAGGCAGCGAUUGCCGUGAGCCAAAAUUGCGCCACUGCAGUCCAGCUUGGGCAACAAGAGCAAAACUCUGUCUCAAAAAAAAAAAAAAAAAAAAAAGGCUGGGCGCGGUGGCUCACGCCUGUAAUCCCAGCACUUUGGGAGGCCGAGGCGAGCAGAUCACAAGGUCAGGAGAUCGAGACCAUCCUGGCCAACACGGUGAAACCCCAUCUCUAUUAAAAAUGCAAAAAAAUUAGCCGGGCAUGUUGGCGGGCGCCUGUAGUCCCAGCUACUUGGGAGGCUGAGGCAGGAGAAAGGUGUGAACCUGGGAGGCGGAGGUUGCAGUGAGCUGAGAUCCCGCCACUGCACCCCAGCCUGGGCAACAGAGCAAGACUCCAUCUCCCCCACCCAAAAAAACAUCUUUAAAAUUUAGCUUUUAAAACACAUUUAGUUAUUAUUUUACUGUGUUUAUUCUUCGUGGUUAGGCACAUUUAUGCCUUUUUGUUUCCUCCCUUGAGUUGUGGGCCUGGACUCCUAAAACCUCCAUUUCUAAAUUUGCCUUACCAACAGGGUCACAAUGGUAGGCAGGCUUAGUGGGACAUGAGGCAAUAAAAAGAUGAACAGUCAUUCUGGUUAUGGCUUGGCAGUGGGAUGGCAGCACAUUAGCUUGGCUCUCACGGUGUGGGCUGCUUUGGUUUCUUUUCCUAACUGAACUCUGACAGGUAGAGUCCUCAUGUCCAGGAAUAAUUCCAGAAAACAAUAAAAAAAAAAAAUUGGUUUUCAGACCAGGACACAAACAUAACCAUAGUAGAUGAGGGCUCACUCAUUUACUAAACUUGAAUGUGGUUAUUACUUCAUUGCUAUUGUAAACCAAAAAUAAAAUUUGAAGCCCCCUGCCACCAACAUCUGAAUGGACCCCUCUUCUCCGCCAAGGGCAUUCCAAAGUUAGACUGAAAAAGUAGUUUCAAGCCAUGCUGGGAAGGGGGAGUCAGACAUGCCUCAUUAUAUUCUCCUCUCUUUUAAAAUUAUUGAUAGAACAGACUCUUUAAGUCUGGUUAGAAACAUUUACAAUCUAUCUCUCUGAAGUCUUCCACCUGGAGGCUUCAUCUGCGACACCUUUGUCUCUGGAACACCUUAUGGCAACCCAGGCAUUCCUUUCUAGAGAUAAUAGUUAUUGCAACAAAUUGCCAAUCAUAAAAUUUUUGAACCUCUCCAACUUGAAAGAUCAUGCUUCCAGUUGUACUGCCUUUCUGGACUGAACCAAUGUACAACACCUUAAAUGUAUUGAUCUCAUGACUUCCUAAAAUAUAUAUAAACCAAGUUGUGCACUGACCACCUGAAGCACAUGUUCUCAGGAUCUCCUGAUGGCUGUUUCAUGGGCUAAUGGUCACUCACAUUUGGUUCACAAUAAAUCUCAUCAACUAUUUUACAGAAUUUGACCCUGUGUCUGCUGGACCUCCCAGAAGAGCAGCAGCACAUGUGCUGAUUUCUUUGGGUUUCAAAAUUGACAACAGUCAAUGGAAAACUGGAUUCCAAAUUCUACCAGAGAAUACUGUGCCAGGUGCUUUCAGUGGGACCCUUGCUGUCUCUGGGAUUUCAAGUGCUAUUACAAUGGUCUCCCCCAGGGCACAUUAAAGGACUGGUGAGAUCCCUAACUGGCAUGGCUCCAGAAGUGAUGUGGAAGUUAGGAAACUCAGGCAGUCAUUGAUUUCCCAGCCCCACUGACGCUUUUCCUCUAUCUCCUGGCUGAGAAAAGAAGACCAGGAAGAGCCGUGAGGGACUUCCAGGGUGGCAUGUGGCUGUCUCCAGCACACGUACAUAACCUGGAUUAUAUCUGUAACAAGCUAUGCUGAUGGAUCAGCAGGUUAACCCAAGCUGAAAAAAGCAGUCAAGCACUUCCUUUGGUGUGUGAGGCAGAAACCAGGACAUCUGCUGGUCCACCAGGGGACAAAAAUCAAUCCUAUUUCACCAAUGUGUCUCCUCCGUGUGGGGAGUAUAGGGCAUUGAAGGUGGAUGAGAAUCACCAUCCACCUUCUGCUGCACAGGAAAGACAAGGGAAGACUCCAGGGAAGACAGAGGAGGAAAACGUCGAGCAGCCCCAGGUGGAUGUGUCUGUGUGUGUGUGUGUGUGUGUGUGUGUGUGUGUGUGUGUACCUUGACAGUGGGUAGAGGAAGGGAGAGGAGGGUUGAGGUCUUCCCACUAGAGGAGUGAAAUGAGCAGAACUGAGAAAAGAGGUCAGAGAAAAGAAAGAGGAACCUACAAGCCACCACAGAAUUUUCUUUCCCCAGAGAAUGGUCUCUUGCCCGACUAGGGGCUGGGUAUCCUUGUGAAGUCACCGGAGGUUUUCAAGGGGUGGGCUUCCUGGCUUCAGUAGACUCAAGGUCCCUAAGGUCCAGUUAGGAUAGGCGCCUGGGAGGGCUCCCGAGUUGGAAUAAGAGUCGGAAGAACUGACAGGGCUGGGGGCGCACUAAGCACACUCUACUCCUGAGAGGUGAGGGUGGGGAUGUUGGAGGGAAAAAGGGCUGCUUUUUCCUGCCUGCAGGCUUCAGAUUCACAGGGGAUGUGAGGAGAGGGCGGAGGAGGAGGAAGCAGCGGCUGUUUAUGCUGGGAAGAUGGCUCAGUUGAGAAGUGAGGCAGAUGUGGCCUCAGAGGGUCUGGCGGAUGGCUGCCGGGAUCACCGGGGGCUGGACUUUGAGAUGUCCAGGACGAAGUGUUGCCCUUUCAGUGCUGCCCUCCCUGUGUCUGCUGGAACUGUUGGAGCCGCAGUGCAGCCUAAUUUUGACUUCAGGUAAAAUAAUUCAAUAUACUGAGGCCCAGGGGGAACAAAGCAAGGUCUACUCCAUAUCUCUGAACAGCUGGUGUCUUUCAGUGCCUAAACUCAAUCAGAAUCCUGGGAGCAAAAGUAGCUCUCCAGUGCAGUCCAUGCAGGUUACUUCUUGCAACAUAGAGGUGACUGAAGCAUGGUAAGCAGAUCUAGAAAGGCAAACAUCUCUAGCAGAUCUAGAGAGGCUAGCCAAUGUUAGCUAGCAGUGUCUUUAUGUUGAUAAACCUAUUCAGAAUGUUAACUUUGUUUGUUGGUUUGUUUGUCCAUUUUUGUCUCCCAGGCUGGAGUGCAGUGGUGCGAUCUCGGCUCACUGCAACCUCCAGUAAUUCUCCCGCCUCAGUCUUUCCAGCAGCUGGGAUUACAGGCUCCCCAUCGCCACACCCAGAAUUUUUUGUAGAGACGGGGUUUCGCCAUGUUGCCCGGGCUGCUCUCAAACUCCCGAUUUCUUAGUCUGACCAAGUCAGGGUUUAGCUAUUUCUUAGCGUAGCAAGUUGAGAUUUAUUCCAGUUUCGAUUUCUAGUUGUAACAAUGCUGGCUUUAACCGUGCCUACGUAGUCGUUGCAAGUUCCUGUUUUGUAAUAGGAACCCCCAUUAUAGCCGUUCGUACGGUUUUUAAGUCUUGUAGAAAUCUGGGUACUGGAGAAUGUAAUUAAAAAAAAAAUUUAGCAGUGCCUGAAAUCUUUUAGUCAUACCAAGUGUGAUUUCACAAUAGAGAUUCUCGCCCUGGCUGUGCUUGUGAUUUUUCACUCAUGCAGAAGUUGAGGUGUCUAGGCUACAGGAACUUUUUGGUGUCGCAAAUACCGGUUUAGCCAUGGCUGUUUCUUCUUAAUCCGAGGAAUUUUCGAAUAGGCGCAAGAGGCACAGGUUUAGUGCUAAUACAAAUAUAGCCGUAGGAUCGCAUCGUUCAACACUGCAAUUUCUUUGUAGGGUUAUUUGUAUGUUUUGUAUACUCAAAAAAAUUUUUUUUGAUGUGUCUUUUUCUGGGAGCGAGGUUACUGGUGUAUUUUAUUUUCAUUUCUGUUUGCUUUAAAAAUUUAUUUUAUUUUUUAUGUAAAUGUUAUGUAUUUUAUUUUUUCUUACCCACUGCCUUCCCCAGGAGAGUAAAUGUGGCAUAAUUUCUUCUACUGAUUUUGAGUAUCAUGUCUCAGCUUCCUACUAACUAGCUUUCUCCCGUGAGUCGGGGAGCAGAGCUGGUGCCUGGUCUCUAGGGUUCUCUUCCGCGGCUCUGUGCCUAUGUCGAGCCAGCAGUUUCGCAUCAGCACUUUCGCCAAUAGCGGAGACUCAGUGUUUUCUCGGCUGCUGCACCGCUGGAAGCGCUGAACACAACAGAACGUUUCGGCGGGGCGCUGUGGCUCACGCCUGUAAUCCUAGCACUUAGGGAGGCUGAGGCGGGUGGAUCACUCGAGGUCAGAAGUUCGAGACCAGCCUGGCCAGCGGGUGAAACCCCGUCUGUACUAAAAAUACAAUAAUUAGCUGGCCGUGGUGGCGCGUGCCUGCAAUCCCAGUUACUCGGGAGGCUGAGGCAGUAUGCUUGAACCCAGGUGGCGGAGGUUGCAAUGAGACGAGAUUGCGCCACUGAACUCCAGCCUGGGUGACAGAGCGAGGCUCCUUCUCAAAAACAAAACAACCCAGAACGUUUCUUGUUCACAAGACUCAGAAGUGCUUUGUGGUAACGCUUCCCCUCUCCUAGCGCCGCCACUUUCCCCGGGCUGGCUGUCUCACGGUCUCAGCCCAGUGAUUGGCCGAGGAGGCGCUCUUUCAGCACUUUCGCUGGAAGGGCUUGGGCUCGGUUUUUCUGCCACAGGCGUUUCAUUGGGUAGGUGCUUUCUCGGUGGAAGCACUGUACAACCUUCCAAGCCUCGAUAUUUCUCAGAGACGACGAUUUCUUAGUGGCAAUACCUUAACUGCACCAAAAACUAAAGUUUGCCGCUGGGUACUCCGCUAGUCGUUCAGUGUCCGCAUUUGCUAUUGAUGCAGGAUUUUUGCUUCUAAGCUCAGCUAUAUCCGGGUCCUUGUCUCACGAUCAGGAGGAAGUGGGCACGCGGAUAUCGAAGAGUGAGUGGAGUAGAAUUUAUUAAGCGUAAACGAAAGCUCUCAUAAAAAACAAGGGUCCUGAAAGCAGGUUGCCGGUUGCUCCUUAACGGCUGAAUACAAAGGCUUUUAUAUGAAAGCUAAGGAGGCUGGGUUCCCUGUUUGUAUAAGGCGAGAAUCCCGGGUGGCUCCAUCCCAUUCCCCCAGUGCGCAUGCGCGCUCUUAAUCCGCAGCAGGCAUGCUUAGGCAAGUCCCUUGUGCAAGUUCCCUUAUCUGCACAAAACACCAGUCGGAGGUUCUCUGGGGACCCUUCCCUUACAGUCUCCCUAAAGCUGGCUAACUCCUUUCACUAUGUCCCAGUAUCCCUGGUUCCUCGGACUGGCACUUUCUGAGUCAUAGCACCGCUCAUUCGUCCGAGCAGAAUUGAUCUCGGUGGCAGCACCUCUGGUGGGUCAAGCCUGCAGCUUCUCCUGAGCAGUUUCGUUAGUUUUUGGGUCCUAGAACCGCUAGUGGUACCAUAGCGGCUCUUCAUGGGUUGCAGGACGUUUGCCAACUCCACCCCACGCUGCCUGCCUAGGUUCGGCUACGGGGCAAAAAGAACAGACUCCUGCAAAGGAAGAACCCCGAGGGUUGGAUAUUUAGGAAAGACGUCCUUUGCAGUGCCACGUCCGCGGAUGCUGCACUUGGCUUUCUCCUCCCUCCUGGGGAAGAAUUGAUGUUUACUUCUCCCCACUCUCCGGGCCGCAUUAUCCAGGGAUUUCGGGGACUAGAUUACCUGAGAUUUUAGCGCUUCUACUGGAUCAUCCUUUUGGAAAUAAUUAUCACUUACAAUAAUGUCUAUCCGGGCCGGGUGCGGUGGCUCACACCUGUAAUCCCAGCACUUUGGAAGGCCGAGGAGGGUGGAUCACGAGGUCAGGAGAUCGAGACCACCCUGGCCAACAUGGUGAAACCUCGUCUCUACUAACAGUACAAAAAUUAGCCGGGCGUGGUGGCGCGCGCCUGUAGUCCGAGCUACUUGGGAGGUUAAGGCAGGAGAAUAGCUUGAACCGGGAGGACUGCAGUGAGCCGAGAUCCUGCCACUGCACUCCAGCCUGGCAACAGAGCAAGACUCCGUCUCAAUAAUAAUAAUAAUAAUAAUGUCUAUCCAUGUUCUUUAAAAAAGUUUGCCUUCACUAUUCUUUAUCAACGUUUGGUUGUCUUUCUCAAUAAAAUAAUAGAGAAACAUCAAAUGCCUUUUGUUUCUUUUGUUUUGUUUGGUUGUUGUUGUUUUAGGAUCAAGACCAAGUCAGAGGUCUGUUGCUGGGUAAGGAGUGCAGCAAAUCCAGGCGACCCAGGUUUCCCUGCCAGUCCUGGCAACAGCAACCAGACACCCCACCCCUGAGCCUCAUCCUUACUCAACGUCAUCAGCAGGAACUCAGGUAACAGGAAUUUCACAUUUGUGUACAAUUUUAUUGAGAAGAGGAAGGAAAAAAGGCAUAAAGUGAUCUGAAGGCGAAACUUCUUCCAUCGCAUUUGAGAGAACUCAGGUAUUAUUGUAACUUUAUUUAUUUAUUUAUUUAUUUACAAGAGGAUCAUCCAAUGGAAGGUCUCAGAGGAAGUUUCAGGGCCCAGGAUUCCAAAGGCGGGCCGUGGACACAGUCUCAGGGCGUCUGUCCCCAAGCGCAUGCCAUCUGCAGCCAGCAGUCUUGGAACUUUGGUUGGUGGCACCAGGGGACAGCAGUAGGCUGACACUCUCAAAGGUCUUCUCGGAUGGAAGUCUCCGGCUCCAGUCGUCUGUCCACUAAGCGAGAGGGUUUUUGCUGCAGCUCAGGUGGGAAUGCAGUGUCAUGCUCUUGGCAACCUGGACCUCCCAGGCUCAAGGGAUCCUCUCCGUCAGCCUCCAGAGUAGCUGGUGAUCCUCCCCCCUCAGCCUACAGAGUAGCUGGGAAUACAAAAAUUGUGUUUCACUGUGUUAUCUGGUUUGGUCUUGGACUUCUGGCCUUAAGUGAUCCUCCUCCCUCAGCCUCUCAAAGUGCUUGGAUUACAGAUGUUAGCCACCAUGCCUAGCCCAUAAUAAAGUUGUUCUAGUCUUAGAUUCUUCUCUCAUGAUGGUAAUUCCACCUUCAGUUUUUGGGGUUUUUUUUUUUCGUUUUUUUUUCUUUUUUUUACAACAUCUUGCUCUGUUUCCCAGGCAGAAGUGCAGGGGCAGGAUCCCAGCUCACUGCAAACUCUGCCCCCUGGGUUUAAAUGAUUCUACCACCUUAGCCUUCCGAGUAUCUGAGAUUACAGUUUCAUGCCACCAUGUCUGGCUAAUGUUUGUAGUUUUAGUAGAGAGGGGGUUUUACUAUGUUGGCCAGGCUGGUCUCAAACUCGUGGCCUCAAGUGAUCCUCCUGCCUCAGCCUUCCAAAGUGCUAGGAUUACAGAUGUGGGCCACUGCACCUGGCCCAGAUUUUUUUUUUCGCUUUGUUCAUUGCAUUAUUCAUAUCGAAGUGGAAAAUCGCGGAUAAUUCUAGUCUUACUAUACUACCUAAUAUAGCAUCCUACUAUACACUUAUGUUAAGUUUCUUGAUAGCAUUUAUCACGGCCGAGCGCAGUGGCUCAUGCCUGUAAUCCUAGCACUUUGGGAGGCCGAGGUGGGUGGAUCACCUGAGGUAAGGAGUUCAAGACCAGCCUAGCCAACACGGCUAAACCCUGUCUCUACUAAAAAUACAAAAAUUAACCAGGCAUGUUGAGCGCCUGUAGUUCCAGCUACUCGGAAGGCUGGGGCGGGAGGAUUGCUUGAACCCAGGUGGCAGAGGUUGUAGUGAGCCGAGAUCAUGCCACUGCACUCCAGCAGUGGAAACAGAGUGAGACUGUCUUAAAAACAAACAAACAAAACAACAACAACAGCAACAAAAAGCAUUUAUUAUAUAAAUACUGUCUUAUUUAUUUAUUUGUUUUCCUGUUUACUGUCUUUUUUCAACUCAUGAAGGUGUCAAACACUUUGUGGCCAAGUCCAUGUCUACUUGUUGAUCACUUAUUUCUGGGACCUUGAUCCCUUUGUAGUACAAUAUAGAUGCUUAGCAUUUGUUAAUGAAGAAACAAUAAAUGUAUUAAAAGACUGGGUGUGGUGGCUCAUUCCAGAAAUCCCAGCACAUUGGGAGGCUGAGAUGAGAGGAUUGCUUGAGCCCAGGAGUUUGAGCCGAGUCUGGGUAACAUAGGGAGACUCUACCUCUACAAAAAAUUUAAAAAUUAGCUGGGUGCCUGGUGUGCCUCUGUAGUCUCAGCUACUUGGGAGGCUGAGGUAGGAGGAUUGCUUGAGCCUAGGAGAUUGAGGGUAAAUUGAACAGUGAUCAUGCCACCACACUGCAGCCUGGGUGACAGAAUGAGACCCUAUCUCAAAAAAAAAAAAGAAACAAAAAACAGUAGUCUCAGAGGUCUAUAGCUGAUUAUAAUCCUAUAAAAGGAUCAAAGUAAAACAAUAAUUGUUGAUGGCAAAAGUAUUAGAAUAGCAAGGGUUAAAGAUGCAAUGGACAAGGAAAUUUGGUUAUAGCUAUGGCGUACAACAAUUUAAUAUAAUGAUCAUAAUUAGUUCUGAUAACAUACACUAACAUUUCAGAAUCACAGGAAUCUCAUACGAUUUUGUAAUACAUACUAAUAAGACAUUCAUAUAAAUACAAUCUAAAGAAAGUUAAAUAUCAUUUCAUAUUUGAUAAUGCAUCUUAUGUGAUCUUAUUAUGCCAAAUAAGCCAAAUAUAUCUCUUUGGAUUUCAGGGGACUUAAUGUCAAAAAAAUUAAUGAGGUAAAAAAGACCGAAUUUAGAAUUGGAUUUUAGAAAGUUUGUCAAAUACUUAAAACAAGGUCAAUGUUUAAAACACUUGAUAUCACAAAAUAGAAUCACAGGUCAUUGUAAAAUAAGUCAGUCAUUUAGUCAAAGUGGUAACUCAAAUAUUUCAAAAACAAAAAGGCAAAACCUUUUACUCUUUGAGACUUACUUUCCCAAAAAAUAAGACCUAAUGAAGAUAGAAUGAAGCCAAUUAAAUCUAUUUCUCAAAUCUUAUAGACAAGUGUAUUAAAUUUUAAUCAUCUUGACCAGAAGCAAUAAUUUUAUAAACCUUUCAUAACGUUUUAUAAUGUUUAAAAAAAGAAUGGGUUAAUACCUCAAGAAAACAUUGCUAAUCUGACACAGGGGCCCACAGGCUGGUCUUGCAUCAGUGUUCCUUUUAUAUUAAUCUUUAUAGGCUGGCCAUUGUGGCUCACAUCUGUAAUCUCAGUACUUUGAGAGGCAUAGGUGGGUGGAUUCCUUGAUCUCAGGAGUUUGAGACUAGCCUUGGCAAUGUGAUGAAACACUGUCUCUACAAAAAAUACAAAAAUUAGCCAGGCAUGGUGGUACACACCUGCAGUCCCAGCUACUCAGGAGGCUGAGGUGGCAGGAUCGCUUGUGUCUGGGAGAUGGAGGUUGCAGUGAGCCAGGAUCAUGCCACUGCAUUCCAACCCAGGUGACAGAGCUAGUUCCUGUCAAAACAAAACAAAACAAAACAAAACAAAACAAAACCACUGUUUAUAGAGAAAUACUGAACUAACUUUCUCUCUUAAAGUAGGUCCUUACAAGUCCAAACACCCACUUCUUCUGCAAUAGUCCCUGGGACUAGGGGGUUGAAUAGUUUAAUUUUCUGGACACAGGUCUUGUGAAUGCAGCUUCUUCUGAUUUUCAUCUUCUCUUAGGUCUGAAGAUGAGGCUUCAGUUGCUGUUAAUGUUUAAGAUUUAGUAGGAGUUGGUGACCUUUUUCGACCCAGGAGUGAAAGCCCUGUAACUUGGUAACACAAAAACGUUAAAAGAAUUACAGAAAGUUAUGUAGAUAUAAUAACCUUUUUUAAUCUCAGUUUUUCUAAGCAAAUAAAAACCUAGUAAUAAUUACACAGGAAUUAUUUUGAUAAAAUGUACAGUAUGUUUUUACCUUUUUCCUAAAUAACCUUUGAAUUAGAUAAAACUAUUUUCCUUUUAAUAAUAACACUUUUUCUUUGGAAAAAUGUUUGCCUACAGUACUUUUGUAAAGUUGAGAAUGACCCAGACAUUUAAUGACUACCUAUUAUUUCAUAAAAUAUAACUCUAAGAUUUUUUUUUUUUGACGGAGUCUCAGUCUGCCUAGGCUGGAGGACGGUGGCACGAUCUGAGCUCACUGCAACCUCUGCCUCCGAGUUCAAGAGAUUCUCCUGCCUCAGCCUCCUGAGUAGCUGGGAUUGCAGGCAUGCAUCAUCACCGGCUAAUUUUUGUAUUUUUAGUAGAGAUGGGGUUUCACCACUUGGGCCAGGCUGGUCUCCAACUCCUGACCUCAAGUGAUCUGCCCAUGCUGGCCUCCCAAAGUGGUGGCUCACACAGUAAUAUCACAGUCUUCUGAAUUCAAAAUAGGCCGAGGCUGGAGCUCAGGCACCACCUCUGCGGAAUCUCAAGCAGGCUUCACAUAGCCAAGAAAAUGUUGCUCCAUCGCUUAAUUAAGCCUCAGAGCAGGAGGACAUAAGCGUUUGCGCUGAUUGACGAGAUGAAGCAGAACCUUUAGCACUACCAUCAGCCUGGGUAUUUAUGCUCUCCGGAGCUCGUGGGCAGAGGGCACCCAGAUAUUAUGAAACUCAAUAGUAACGAAUGCACGAAAAUUAGUAGACAAAUGAAAACCGGUAAAAUUCUAGAGAGCACAUAGAAACAAAACAAAUCGUAAUUCCGACAGAAAAACAGCGAGAAAAGAAGUCGAAAUGAAACGGAUACUAAGCAAACCUUACAGAGAACGAGCGCUACAAAACGCAGGGAUUAAAGAGUUCUUCAGGGGCCAAAAACCAUCUGUGUCCGGGAAAUGAGCAUUGCUGCCACCGGAAAACUGUCCGCUAGGUCUCUGCACUGCUCUGGACCUCGCUAGCAAGAAUCUGGCGGCGCUGAGACUCAGCAAGCGCCGGCACCUAGCGGAUAGCGCUGGUAUUGCCAAACAAAUAUCCGUUUAGGCGCCAUAACGGUGCUGCUAGAAAGAAACUGCGGAUUCUUAGGAGGGGUGCUUCCAUCCCGAAACAUACUGUCUGGAGGAAUGGACCGACUCUGUUUAAAUGUGUUGUGACGUUUUAAUGUGUUUUAAUCCGUUUAAUGUGUUUAAUCCGUUUAAUGUGUUUUAACACGUUUUAAUGUGUUGUGACAGGAAAAGAGCCGGCUAACGGUAUUACGGAAGUACUAGUUGGCACAGAGGCUCGGUGCAAUUACCGUUCUGCACCGUAAAACGGGUUUAGGAAGUUCCUAGGAGAUACUAGCGGUGCCAGAACCGAGAAAGUGACGACACAGACAACUUAUGGACUCCGCGUACGGGAAACGUUCCGUUGGGCGCUAAGAACGGUGCAGCAACUGAAAAACCGCUCAGUGGGCGCUACUGGCAAAAGCGUUGCUGCAAAACCGCCAGCUCCGCAUUAGAAGCAGAGCCGCCAGACAGAACCCGGGACCUGAAACCACCGAAGCGGAGACCGAGCUUGGCUCCCCAGCUCCUGAGAGAAUGCAAGUCAAGGAGUACGAAGCUGUGAUACUCAAAAUUAGUAGAAGAAAAAUGAAUAACAUUUAAAUAAGAUAAAAUUUUAAAAUAAUAAAUUCUAAAAUUCAAAUAAAAAGGCAAAGCAAACACACUGGAAACUACCGGUAGCAUUGUUCUCAGAGCAAAAGACACAAAAAGAGCAUUUAAAAAUAAGCAAAAAUUAGAGAGAACCAACCCUACAAAGCAGAAAUUACAAGUAUUGCCAAAAGAAGCAAUUCUGUGAUUAGGAUAUCCCUGUUAGAUCUAAACCGGUACAUGUUACACCUAAGUCUACAUUUCUUAGGACAAAAACAAAAACAAACAACAACAACAACAAGAAACCAACAAAACCCAGUCAUGGUUAAACCUGUUUACGACUAAAAAAUCGUAGUAGCUGAUAUAUCCCGACUUGGUCCACAAGAGGAAAAAGUCGCGUUCGGCGGAAAUUGCUAUCGUCAAACCGAGCUUCGUAAACCAGAAAUCGCUUUUGCCGGCAUUUCCUGACUUCCAUGGGAGUUUAAAAAACACCAACAUAGCUAAGGCGGGACUUGAUGUUGCGCAGCUAGCCUUGGUGUAAGAGCUCCCAGGCACUGCUAAACUGGUCAUCGCUAAACCUAAAUGAAUCGCAUUCGCUGGUACACAGAUUUCUACAGGAGUUGAACAUCUCCUGCGCAGCUAAAGCAAGCCGUACUAGUAGGAAGCCGGAACUUGCCACGACUUAGAAACUUGAGGCUUUGGGAGGCCAAGGCGGGUGGAUCAUCUGAGGUCGGGAGUUUGAGACCAGUCUGGCUAAUGUGGCAAAACCCCGUCUCUACUAAAAAUACAAAAAUUAGCCGGGUGUGGUGGCGGGCGCCUAUAAUCCCAGCUAUUUGGGAGGCUGAGGCAGGAGAAUCACUUGAACCCGGGAGGUGGAGGUUGCAGUGAGCCGAGAUCGCCGAGAUGGCGCCACUGCAUUCUAGCCUGGACGAAAGAAACUCUGUCUCAAAAAAAAAAAAAAAAAAAAAAAAAAAAAGAAAAAGAAAAAAGAAACUUGAGGCAGGGCUAACUCUGCGUUUGUUAUGAUUAGGCUACAGGAAACCCGGAGUUGCUGGGAAAUGAGUCACAGGGUCACUCAGCCUUUCUGUGGCGAAACAUCGACUUCCUACGACCUAGAAAUCGCCGCCAGGGCUAGGCUGGUGUUUGUCCUAAGUGGGUACUUGCUUGGGUUGAGAAAUCACAUUUUGGCUAUUCCCCGACUUGAACCAGGGGAUAGAAAUCGUAGUCACCGGCUGGGCGCAGCGGCUCAUGCUGUAAUCCUGGCAGUUUGGGAGGCCGAGGCGGGCAGAUUAUUGAGGUUAGGAGUUCGAGACCAGCCUGGUCAAUAUGAUGAAACACCGCCUCUAGUAAAAAUACAAAAAUUAUCCGGGCGUGGUGGCGAGCGCCUGUAAUCCCAGCUACUCAGGAGGCUGAGGCAGUAGAAUCCCUUGAACCUGGGGUGCGGAGGUUGCAGUGAGCCAAGAUCGCGCCACUGCACUCCAGGCUGGGCGACACGGCGAGACUCUGUCUCAAAACAAAACAAAAGGAAAAGAAGAGAAAAGAAAAAGAAACGCAGGCACCCUGAAAUCGAAACUUGUUAGGACCAACAAGCCAACGACAGACGAAUCUGCGGGGUCCUGCGACAGACACGCCAGCCCCGCCGCCACAGCACAGGGUUCUGGAGGUCGAGCUGUUCUGCGGGUUCUGCGGCGGCGCUGGGAAGAGACGGCGCCCGGGCAGCUCCCCUGUCACCGGCUUGGAGGAGCGGCGGGCUCCCCUAGCCCAGCGCCGCCGCCGCCGCCCGGGAACGCCAGGCUCACCCCAGCUGGGGAAGCUCCGAAUCCCUCAGAUCGGCGACCUGAGUGCUGUCGCCCCGAGAAAAUGGAGGCAUCGAGCAACGAGCUGUGCUGAGACCGAGAGACCUCAGUUCUGCGAAAUGUCGGUGCCUGGAGCUUGCGAAUGACUGCGGCCGGCGGGUUGUCAAGGACAACAUUCCUUAUGGCGCAACCAACAGCGCUGUCACCAAGAAACUGGACUCUGAGAAAAAAGAGGGUUUCGGCCACCGAGAAACUCCGUGCCACAUGUGCCGUGACAGCAAAACCGCCCGCUCCGCGCCGCUGGUGAAAGAGCUAACGAACGCCAGGUGCUGCGACAGUGACACCGGGACUAGAAGGCCUCGGAUGGAGAAUGGGACGCCCAGAGCAAGCAGGAAAACGUUUUGUUUGGCUCAACUAGCGCUGUCGCAACCGGAAAACUGUCAGGCCAGUGCUGCUGCGGAUGUGAGAAACCGGUGAUCCGAAGGCGGAGUGGCGCUGGGCGCUGGACUCGCUGGUGUGAAAAUCUGGCUGCUCUAGGACCCGGCAAGCGCGGGCACCAGGCGAACGCCAGCGACUUUGCCAGACAAAUGCAUGUCUUUUUUGGUCGCCAUUCAAAGAUGCAGCCGGCAGUCAGCCCCGGCUCUGAGAAACAAGUGGAGGUGUCAGCCAUAAACCCUCCGUUCAGGGAAAAGAGAGUCGCUGCGACGGAUCGACUGGCCGUUGGGUGGAACUUUCUUUGGUGGCCUAGUGACUAGAAAAUAAAAACGAAAACGAAAUAAAAAACUGCUACUGACAUUACUCCCACGCUCCCUCCUCAAGUCAGUGGCUUCAGGCUUAAGAAAACCUGUAUUUUUCUUGGCUGAUCCGUGAUCCCUAAUUACUGAGGGCCCCGCGACCCACCAAGUGCGAUUCGCAGAGGGAAAGGAGCUGGAAUAAGGAUCCAGAAUGGGACGGAUUUGGCUCCUCCAGGAAGAAAGCAAAACAAAUGCAGGUCGCGAACACUUUACAUUGCAGGAAGCUGCUCUUCCAGUGGCCGCGGCUGGGUCCUUCCACACCACCUCUCUGUCCUAGGCCUUCGUCCCGGUUCAGCCCUCACGGAUUCUAGGCUAGCGGUCAACAACCGCAUCCCUCCGGAACCUGGAAACUCUAGGUCCGAGAUCUCGGUGAAGAAUGAAAGGCACAGCGCCGCUCAACCCAGGCUUCAGGCCUGCCCCGCUGGUCCCGUCCCUUCCCUGUGGGAUGGAACUCUGUGGGAAUCGCUCCUUAUUCUGAUGGUUCACUCAUUCAGAUGUCCUUGAUAUUUGGGGAUAUUUCUAAAACAGCUGGGGAGAAAAAUGGACUGCGAGGCUCCGGUGUUGGACGUGAAAUUGGCAGUGAGACAUCCGCCUCUAAGCCCAGGGAAAAGCUUAAAUUGUGGUUCUCUGUCUCUAGCACCGUGAUCUUUGAAAUGCGUUAUUGAUUUUCUUCUUUCUUCUGGGAAAUGCAAUGCAGGUGAACUUGUAAGUGUUGAAUCCUCCCUCUCCUCACUGUUCAAUCAGACUGAGGCCUACUUCCUUUCUGAUAAGAAAUAUGGAACUGCCAUUGCUCAGUAGGAAAAUGUCCUUUCUACAAGCAUUCAUAUUUCAAUAAAAAUCUGCACUUUGUGAGUUGAGCCCCCUCAAAGAGACCUACAGACCCUGCCAUGAGCAUCUCCAUCCACACUCAUCAUUUCCCAUUUUCACCACUUCUGCUCCUGUGCAAACCAGUACUAUCCUUUUCUGGGGGAUCCUAGGCAGAAGCGAUGGCAGGACAAAGGCAGAGAAGGCACUGCCAGGUCCUGCAUGCCAGUAAAACUACUCAUGUCAGCUGUUCUGCAGGAUCCCAUGAGAAGGUGAGUCACCAGAAAAUGCAGUUUCCACAUCCUGAUGAUUUCAUCUCCCUACCCCAACUGAUCAAUUUCUCCAAUUUUCCAGCCUCUCACCCUCCACAAUCCCCUUAAAAACUGUAGCCCAGAACUCUCUGGAAUGAUGAAUUUGAAGGUUUGCUCCUGUCUCCUCACUCAGAAGCCUGUAAUCAUUAAACUCUUUCUCUGAUGCAAACUCUGCUGUCUCAGUGUAAUUGGUAUGUAAGUGUGCAGCAGGCAUAUGAAUCUGUUGGUCCUGUAACAGUUGGGAUGCAGUGGCACAAUUGUAGCUCACUGUAAUCUCUACCUCCUACACCUAAGGGAACCUUACCACCUCAGCACUCGGAAUAGCUAGGACUUUAGGUCUGUGUGCUACCACCCAUGGCUAAUUUAUAAAAUAAUUUCUUUGUAGAGACAGGAUCUUUCUAUAUAGCCUGGGCUGGUCUCAAACUCCUGGCCUCAAGGUAUCCUCCCCACUCUGCAUCACAAAGAGCUGUCAUUACAUGUGUGAGAUACCAUACCCUGCCCAUGGUAGAAUAUUAACACAUGGGUGUGAAAUGUUGGCUUCAGUCUGGCAUGUUAUUACUUUAUUAACAGUAAAGAAUAAUAUCUGAUCAUGAAAUUGUUUUUUUUUGUAAAUAGAAUAUUUUCUAUUUACAUUGAUGCUUUUGUAAAUAGAAUAUUUGACUCUGAUGAAGACAUAUUAUAAUUUCACUAUGGAUAUGACCUGAAAUGGAAAAAAUUGACUUACAGAAAAAAUACACCAAAGAAGUCACCAUUUUAUAUUUGUUCUUAUUACAAUUAUCUUUCAAGCCAUAAAAAACAAAAAUUAGUGAUUUUAUUACCAACUGAGAAGAUUAUUUUCUGCCAAGCAAUCUCUAAACAUUAACUUUUACUAGGAAUGUAUUCAUGAAAGGGACUUUGUAAAAUAGGAGCAAAUUUGACCUCUUAUUUAAUCAUUCAGAGAUGAAAUAAAAUAUAAUACAUUAUUUGAAAAGAUAUCCAGGAAGCAGGAAGUACAGUCAGGGAUCCCAGGAAUGGGUGUGGUGAUGUCUGUUGCACCAGGGCUUAGAGGGCAGGAUCUUUCCUCUAGAAACUCUGUGUGUCAGGCAUGCCUAGACAAAAUACACUUAUAUUUGAUGUUUUAGCAUAUCAAAGAGGUAUUGCUUGGUUUAAAGAUGAGGCUCAGUGAGUUUACACCACAGUCCAAGAUCACAAAGGUAGUUCAUGCUGGAGCUGGAUUGAAGUCCCAGGUUAUCAGGCAUUCAUAUCAAGUAGGGAAAUGAGUAAAGAAAUAAUUAGGUUGGGUUUUGAAAAAGAAGAAUCCUAUGCCUUACAUAAAAUUGUACCUUAAAAAUUUUUUUGGCUGGGCGUGGUGGCUCUUGCCUGUAAUCCCAGCACUUUGGGAGGCCGAGGCAGGCGGAUUACAAGGUCAGGAGAUCGAGACCAUCCUGGCUAACACGGUGAAACCCCGUCUCUACUAAAAAUACAAAAAAUUAUCCGGUGCGGUGGUGGGCGCCUGUAGUCCCAGCUACUCCGGAGGCUGAGGCAGGAGAAUGGCGUGAACCCGGGAGGCGGAGUUUGCAGCGAGCGGAGAUCGCGCCAUUGCACUCCAGCCUGGGCGACAGACCGAGACUCCAUCUCAAAAAACAUAAAAAUAAAAAAAAGGGCAAAUAUGUUGAGCUAAUAUGAUGCUUUUUACAGUAUUUUUUUUCAAGACCCUUAUAUGUUAUGUGAUUAUAUGCAUUUUUUUAAGUUAUUCUCCUUCCUCUGUUAUUCCUACUUCCACUGCAAUUCCUCUCAUCAGUAACUACCAGUUUUAACAUUACAUUAUCCAAAAAAGAGGUGGAUGGAGUCUCGGCUGCAUAUGCUAAUGUUGCACCUUGGACGAGUGAUGUAAUGCCUUUUGCCAUUUUGCAUUUCCAAAUAUAUUCUCAAAUGUAUUCCUAACAGUGGUGUUUGCUACACAAUGAAAUAAUAGAAAUAAAAUAUAAUACAUUAUUUGAAAAGAUAUCCAGGAAUUAUUUUAACAUUUUUCCUUUAAAUUAAUUUCUGAAUGGAAAUGACAGUCAUGAAACCAUUCCUAUAAACUUUAUAAAGUUAAUCAGGGAAAAUGGGAGAAGGAGAAUAAAAAAUAUAUCAAGACUGCAGUACAUUCAGCAUUAAUGAUUAGGUCACCUUGCUCUCUGGCCUUCUUGCUCAUAGUUCUUUGGUGCUUAUUGCCCCAAACUAUGAGAAUAAUUAUGCAGAAUAAUUAUACCCUGUCAGAAUUAUGCAGACCCAAUCACAAGAUUAUAGUUUCCCUUAACUGCUCUGUAGAGAACACCUUUAACAUUGUAAAAUGUCAAGGUUUUCAUUUGAUAUAUUCUCUUAUGUCCUGAAGACUGAUAAAACUAUUGAUGCCAGCUAGUCUGAAAGACCCCAUGAGGAGCUGGCUCACCGAAGAAUGCAGUUUCUAUAUUUUGAUGAUUUCAUCCCCUUUACCCCAAACAAUCAAUGACCCCAAUUUUUCAGUUUCUUGCUCUCCACAAUCUCCUUAAAAACUCCAGAGCUGGGCGGGGCACGGUGGCUCACUCCUGUAAUCCCAGGACUUUGGGAGGCUGAGGUGGGCAGAUCACCAGGUCAGGAGUACGAGACCACUGAAACCCCAUCUCUACUAAAAAUACAAAAAUUAGUCGGGUGUGGUGGUGCACACAUGUAAUCCUAGCUAUUCAGGAGGCUGAAGCAGGAGAAGGCUAAGGCAGGAGAAUCGCCUGAACCCGGGAGGCAGAGGUUGCAGUGGGCUGAGAUCACACCACUGCACUCCAGCCUGGGUGAUGGAGCAAGAUUCUGUUAAAAACAAAACAAAACAAAACAAAAACAAACACCUCCAGACCAGAAUUUCUCAGGGAGGUGGAUUUGAGGGUCCCUCCUGUUUCCUCACCUGGCUGCCCUGCUAUCAUUACAUUCUUUUUCUGCUGUAAGCCCUGCUGUUUCAGUGUUUUGGUAUAUAUUUAUGUUACUGCACAGCAGAUAUCCAAACCUGUUGGUCCUGUAACGAUCAGGCACAUCUUUUGUAUUGGUUUGUCUUGUGUUUUUUUUUUUUUUUUUUUUUUUCCAG
rnacentral:lncRNA from 1 species